GCAAGGAAGCUGAUUGGCG
rnacentral:siRNA from 1 species